GGGUAACCUGCCCUAUGCUGGGGAAUAACCUCGGGAAACUGAGAAUAAUGCCCCAUAGCCCACUACGCCUGGAACGGUGAGUGGGUCAAAGCCCCGGCGGCAUAGGAUGGGCCUGCGCCGUAUCAGGUUGUAGGGGGUGUAAAGUACCCUCUAGCCAUCAACGCGUACGGGUGUUGGGAGACAUUGCCCGGAGAUGGAUUCUGAGACACGAAUCCAGACCCUACGGGGUGCAGCAGGCGCGGAAACUUGGCAAUGCGAGAAAUCGUGACCAGGGAACUCCAAGUGCGUAGGGUAAGACCUACGCUUUUCUUGACUCUUCAAAGGUCUUGGAAUAAGGGGUGGGUAAGGACGGUGCCAGCCGCCGCGGUAAUACCGGCGCCUCAAGUGGUAGUCGCUUUUAUUGGGCCUAAAACGUCCGUAGCCGGUCUGGUGCAUUCGUGGGUAAAUCAACCCGCUCAACGGGUUGAAUUCUGCGAGCACGGCCAGACUUGGGACCGGGAGAGGUGUGGGGUACUCUCAGGGUAGGGGUAAAAUCCUGUCAUCCUGAGAGGACCACCUGUUGCGAAGGCGCCACACUAGAACGGAACCGACGGUCAGGGACGAAACCUAGGGGCACGAACCGGAUUAGAUACCCGGGUAGUCCUAGGUGUAAACGCUGUGGACUUGAUGUUGGGGGCGCUCCGAGCGCUCUCAGUGUC
rnacentral:rRNA from 1 species